AAAAAAAACAAACCCUCGCCCCUUCGGCGGGGCGGGUGUGGACGCCUGCGGCCCGGGGCGAGCCCGGCGCCCGGCGCGCGGGGAUGGGGGUCACGGUGGACGUGCGCCAGGUGUACAAGUACCCCUUCGAGCAGGUGGUCGCCAGCUUCCUCCGAAAGUAUCCCAACCCCAUGGAUAAAAAUGUCAUCUCUGUAAUAACUGUGGAGGAAAAAAGAGAUGUGUCAACAGGGAUCAUCUAUAGAAAGAGGAUUGCAGUCUGUCAGAAUGUGGUUCCAGAAAUUUUAAGGAAGGUGAGCAUUUUAAAGGUACCUAGUAUCCAGUUGGAAGAGGAAUCGUGGCUCAAUCCUCAGGAAAGAAACAUGGCUAUACGGAGUCACUGCCUUACAUGGACACAGUAUGCAUCCAUGAAGGAAGAGUCUGUCUUCCGGGAAAGUGUGGAAAAUCCAAACUGGACAGAGUUCAUUCAGAGAGGCAGAAUUUCAAUUACAGGGGCUGGCUUUCUCAACUGCAUUUUGGAGACUUUUGCCAGCACAUUCUUAAGACAGGGAGCCCAGAGGGGAAUUAGAAUAAUGGAGAUGCUGCUAAAGGAACAGUGUGGUGCCCCCUUAGCUGAAUAAAGAAUCCGCAGACAACUGAUGAAUGCUGGGCCCUGACCAAUGAUGUGAAGACUGUGCCUGCUUCUAGGAACACAGGAGCCAAGUGAAACCAUUCGAUAGACACAUCUAGACACCAACUAUAUGAUGAUAAUUACAAUGAUGAUCACGGAGACUUAAUAUGUUCCAGAAGAGCACUUAAAACCUACUUUCACAAUCCUCUAAGAAUUUCCUUGAUCCCCAAUUCCUGACAACGUCAUCAGAACUGAAGAGAGGCCCUGAAACAGCAUUUUCCAUCCACAGAAAAGACCACCUAAUUUUUUUUUUCAUUUUGCCUAAAAACACUGUGCGUUUUUUUUUUUUUUUUCAUGUAGAUAAAUGGAUCCUAAUCAUGGUACUCUAACAGCAGCAUUUGAUCUUCUGGUUCAGGUUAGAUGUACAUUCACCCUGUAGCCAGUCUGGUUUAACCAAAAAGGAACAAGAUUCUCCAAGUGGAAGCCAAGCAGAGAAAUCAGAGACCAAGAGGGAACACUAAGAGGAAUGGGACCAGAAAGCUUUGGUUUUACAAGCUUCUCAUUUCUC